CACUGGGAUGCAGUGCCUUAGACCACUGCGCCACUCGGGAGACUUGGGUAUACCCACCCAAGACCAGUUCUAGGGCAGAAAAACAAAUGUUCACCGCUUUGGGUCCCCAGGAUUAGAAUUCCACUGCUGUAGACUGAUCCCAUGUCUGGCUACUAGUUCGUAAAAUGUCACUUCAUGCUCUCCUACUUUGUCCCUCUAGUGUUCUGCCCCCCACCUGGUUGAGGUCCUAGUGUCUGCAGUCUAUGGAAAGCUCGUUGGCUGUUGAAGUGUUGCUGUCCUGGUGGAGUGGGAAGUGCUCGUGUUGUACACCGGCUCGCACUCCUGUUUGGGCAGCAAGGAAGUGGGACAGUCUCGUUGGAACUGGGAAACCAGGCCAAGUCAAUUAAACCCCUGACUAUGUGUUUUGCUGAAUAAAUAAAUCUACAAAUGUGA